rnacentral:rRNA from 1 species
AUGAGGUCUACUCCCGCCUUCUCCUCACUGAGCAGCGUGCCAAGGCGCGCCGCUCCAAAGCCAGUCACGGCUCCCUCUCUGCGAACACCGCCACUAAGGGGGGCCGCAACUCGUCCAAGGGGCCGCCCCCUACUUCGUCUUCAUCAUCUUCGGCUCCCCCCGCGUCCGCAACCCUACCAGGGGCUGGUGGUUGACGCGUGUGCCAGCUGUGUGGCAUUGAGGGGCACUGGUCCUCCAAGUGCCACAAACGCUUCAGCGGACUUUUCUUGGUCUUGGCAAUGA